GCCGGGAUAACCGACCUGGUGAUCCUGGAGGCGACGGACCGCAUGGGCGGGCGCAUCCACAAGACCAAGUUCGCUGGGGUGAACGUGAAGAUGGAGGCCAACUGGGUUGAAGGGGUGAACGGGGACGAGAUGAACCCCAUCUGGACCAUGGCAAAUGACACCGGAGGCCUCAACCUCAGGACCUUCCGCUCUGACUUCAGUCACCUCGCCGGCAACACCUAUAAGCAAGAGUAUAUGCUUGCGGUGGUCUCUACGAUGAGAAACUCGUCGAGAAGAUAA
rnacentral:rRNA from 1 species